UACGAAGGGGGCUAGCGUUGCUCGGAAUCACUGGGCGUAAAGCGCACGUAGGCGGGUUCUUAAGUCAGGGGUGAAAUCCUGGAGCUCAACUCCAGAACUGCCUUUGAUACUGGGAAUCUCGAGUCCGGGAGAGGUGAGUGGAACUGCGAGUGUAGAGGUGAAAUUCGUAGAUAUUCGCAAGAACACCAGUGGCGAAGGCGGCUCACUGGCCCGGUACUGACGCUGAGGUGCGAAAGCGUGGGGAGCAAACAGGG
rnacentral:rRNA from 1 species